rnacentral:rRNA from 1 species
AGUGAACGCUGGCGGUAGGCCUAACACAUGCAAGUCGAACGGCAGCACAGUAAGAGCUUGCUCUUACGGGUGGCGAGUGGCGGACGGGUGAGGAAUACAUCGGAAUCUACUUUUUCGUGGGGGAUAACGUAGGGAAACUUACGCUAAUACCGCAUACGACCUACGGGUGAAAGCAGGGGAUCUUCGGACCUUGCGCGAUUGAAUGAGCCGAUGUCGGAUUAGCUAGUUGGCGGGGUAAAGGCCCACCAAGGCGACGAUCCGUAGCUGGUCUGAGAGGAUGAUGAGCCACACUGGAGCUGAGACACGGUCCAGACACCUACGGGAGGCAGCAGUGGGGAAUAUUGGACAAUGGGCGCAAGCCUGAUCCAGCCACACCGCGUGGGUGAAGAAGGCCUUCGGGUGGUAAAGCCCUUUUGUGGGGAAAGAAAAGCAGCAGGUUAAUACCCCGCUGUUCUGACGGUACCCAAAGAAUAAGCACCGGCUAACUUCGU